UACGGGGGGGGGCAAGCGUUGUUCGGAAUUACUGGGCGUAAAGGGCGCGUAGGCGGUCCGCUAAGUUAGAUGUGAAAACUCUGGGCUUAACCCAGAGCCUGCAUCUAAUACUGACGGGCUAGAGUUCUGGAGGGGGUAGCGGAAUUCCUGGUGUAGCGGUGAAAUGCGUAGAUAUCAGGAGGAACACCUGCGGUGUAGACGGCUUUCUGGACCAUUGCUGACGCUGAGGCACGAAAGCGUGGGUAGCAACAGGAU
rnacentral:rRNA from 1 species